rnacentral:rRNA from 1 species
GUUGGACGAGAUAUUAACUGUUUCAUCUUAAUUUUUUUUUGAAUUUAAUUUUUUAGUCAAAAAGCUAAAAUUUAUUUAAAAGACGAGAAGACCCUAUAAAUCUUUAUAUUGGAAUUAUUAUUAUUAUUUAGAUUUAUUUUAUAAUAAUAGUUAAUAAUAUUUUAUUGGGGUGAUAUUAAAAUUUAUAAAACUUUUAAUUUUUUGUUACAUUAAUUUAUGAAUAAAUGAUCCAUUUUUAGUGAUUAAAAAUACAAGUUACUUUAGGGAUAACAG